CAGCGGGGGAGAAGCUUGCUUCUCCUGCCGGCGAGUGGCGAACGGGUGAGUAAUACAUCGGAACGUGCCCUGUAGUGGGGGAUAACUAGUCGAAAGAUUAGCUAAUACCGCAUACGACCUGAGGGUGAAAGUGGGGGACCGCAAGGCCUCAUGCUAUAGGAGCGGCCGAUGUCUGAUUAGCUAGUUGGUGGGGUAAAGGCCCACCAAGGCGACGAUCAGUAGCUGGUCUGAGAGGACGAUCAGCCACACUGGGACUGAGACACGGCCCAGACUCCUACGGGAGGCAGCAGUGGGGAAUUUUGGACAAUGGGCGAAAGCCUGAUCCAGCAAUGCCGCGUGUGUGAAGAAGGCCUUCGGGUUGUAAAGCACUUUUGUCCGGAAAGAAAUGGCUCUGGUUAAUACCUGGGGUCGAUGACGGUACCGGAAGAAUAAGGACCGGCUAACUACGUGCCAGCAGCCGCGGUAAUACGUAGGGUCCAAGCGUUAAUCGGAAUUACUGGGCGUAAAGCGUGCGCAGGCGGUUGUGCAAGACCGAUGUGAAAUCCCCGAGCUUAACUUGGGAAUUGCAUUGGUGACUGCACGGCUAGAGUGUGUCAGAGGGGGGUAGAAUUCCACGUGUAGCAGUGAAAUGCGUAGAGAUGUGGAGGAAUACCGAUGGCGAAGGCAGCCCCCUGGGAUAACACUGACGCUCAUGCACGAAAGCGUGGGGAGCAAACAGGAUUAGAUACCCUGGUAGUCCACGCCCUAAACGAUGUCAACUAGUUGUUGGGGAUUCAUUUCC
rnacentral:rRNA from 1 species